rnacentral:lncRNA from 1 species
GCCGGCGGCGUUCCCCGCUCCRCUCCCGCUGCCCCCGUCCCUGAAGCCGCCGGCCCCUCUCCCCAGGCCCCCCCAGGACAUCAGCCUGGAGGAGUUCGACGACGAGGACCUGUCGGAGAUCACAGACGACUGCGGCAUCGGACUCAACUACGACUCGGACCACUACGAGAAGGACUGCCUGGUGCUGGAGCGCAGCGAGCAGCCGCACCCCGUGUGCACCUUCCAGGAUGACUUCCAGGAGUUCGAGAUGAUCGACGACAACGAGGAAGAGGAGGAGGAAGAGGACGAGGAGGAGGAGGAGGAGGAGGAGGAGGAGGAGGGCAACGAGCUGGAAGCUCCACCGUCGCCUUCGGCCUCGCCCAUCCCCUCGCCCGCCGUGGAGGAGACGCAGAAGCACCGGCCCACCACCCUCAACCUGACAGCGCCGGGCACCCAGGACUCCCUGAACAACAACGGCAGCUACCCACCUCCCGCUCCCGCGCAUCGGACCACGUGGCAGGACGCCCUUCUCCACUGCUCCUCCUCCUCCUCUUCCUCGCACGCUGGGCACGCGUCUCCGCACCCCUGCAUCCAGGACGGACCCUGCCUGGAAAGCCGGAGGCGCCCGGGGCCGAGCCCAGGGGAGGCCGUGCCGACCCCGACCCCGGCCCCGCGGCC